UAGUUGGCCACAUUGAAACAGCAGCAGGACCAAGAGAAUCACACAACCCGUCAAACUACCCCCAAUUUCACAACCCCACUAUAUAAAGUCCUCAAUUAACCCCAACGAUAUUUUUCAUGCCUUUCUCUCUCUACACCAUUCCUCUCCCUUCUCUCUCUCUCUAUCUCUCUCCUUCCAUUUCUAGAAUCGAACUCGUGUUACAGAUCAGAAGGUUUUGGAAGACAUGGCAUUUCAUCACGACUCAGCUUUGUGGACAAACCGUCGCUUAUUUUCUCAGGCCAGUUUCCUCAGAAUUUGUUGUUCAUGCAACUUUAACCUUACUGCGCCACAUGGAGAUGUGAAAAUUAUCUUCAUUGUUAUCCAGGUUUACCAUUGGAAUCCUUGUGAUCCAGAAGUAAGCUUGUUUAAGAAGCACUUACUGUUUUCGGCAGAAAAGAAUGUUUGUGGAACAUGCUCCAUAUAUUAUCUGUUACUUGAGCGCGAGUGUCUUUUGGAAACAGCCUAUCUAUCUCCAUGAGGUAGAGAUAACUUCUGCGUACAGUCUACCGACCCGGACCUCACAUUUGGGAUUGCACUAGUUCGACACUGGUGUGAAAUGAAAUUAAUAUGUCCCUUUCUAAAGACUAUUGCACGCAAAGCAUAUUGAUGCAACAAUGCGAGAUAAAAUUAUAAGCUAUUGGUUUGUGGAGGCCUUGAAGUUGAUGGUCAUAAACUAUGAUGUCUCGUACAGUAAGGAGUAAUUGAAUUUGAUGUUCUGUUAGUGAAUAAUUGCAGUUGUACAUAAAAAAAAUUACAGUUGCGUCAUAGUUGCCCCGCUUGGAGAUUGUAAAGCAGCUCUACACGUGAUUUUCUGUUCCUGGAUUUGUGUACCAUUGAAAGAGUGUGCUAUGAGCAUGAGUGCAAUACGUCAUGAUGGCAGUAUUAACCCCUGAGCAGAAUUCUUUCUUAUGUCUUAAAUUAGGUUGGUCUAUCCAGUCUUAUUAUUAAAAGGAGUCAUGUGCUGCUUCCAUGAUCAAUCUACCAGGAAUUAUCUUCCAACACCAUAUCCAAAAGCUCCAAGCUGUACCUAAAUUUAUAUGUGAGCAUAGGAAUGAACUAGGUGUAGGUUAACACCAGCUGUCAUCUUGGUAGAUAUUUGACAAGAGAUAGUGUGCCCUAGCUGACGAUUUUCAAUAAAUGGGCUUCACCGGAAAUAAAUCAUUACUACCUCUACCACAAAUUGAAUCUCUCCUUGUUGAAUUGGCGUGACUCAAAUAAGAUUCAGAAGAUUUUAUUUAAGAUUUUGACACUAGCUAGAAGGCUGGGGGAUAAGCAACCUUUGGAGUCCUUCUUACUAGAACUUUGCCCACAAUAGAACUUUUACACUAUAAAGGUAAUUUUUAAAAAAUGGCCAAAUUUUCAUGUACAGCAGGGAUUAGGCAGACUACUAAAUCCUUGAAGUUGAUAAUGGUGAUCGUCAGUAAAAAGGUAGCACAAGGUUUUGUUUUUCCAAUCAUAACCCUCUCAAGAGCAUGAAAACCCUUUCUUUUAUUGCUCUUGCAGAAAAUCAGGCUGUAUCUGUGUAGAAUCUCUUUUCGCAUAAAUAUGCAGGUAGGGAUGUAUGAAAAUUGUUUAGCUGAAGAUAUAAAAUGCUUCAAAGUAAUUGUAAAGUGUGAACCAUAAGACAGUUCUAUCCUGGGCUAUAUUGUGAUUGAUUUAAAGCCAUAGUCCCUGAUCUAUUCUUUUAUGUGACCUCUACAGUAAAAUCUUGAAAGGUGAAGUUUUGGUACAUUUUCAAUGGGUAACAUUUCAUCCCAGAUCAGUAAUAAUGGAAUACAAGCUCCUGUUCUCUGACAAUGUAUUGGAUUGCCCAUAGUUUAUAAGACACUAGUUUGGAUGAAAUGUUUCUAGUUUCUCGUAAGGCAUCUUCCUUCCAUCUUAACUAUAAGUUUUCAAACUUUAGCCUCCAUUUCAGCAUCUUCAGCUGUACAGCUAACUGUUAAAUAUGAGAAUCUUUUGCUUCUUGCAGGAUUCUGUUUUGUCUCUUCACUUUUGUCCCUAUUACCCUGCUUCCGUCUCCUAAUUCUAUUUUCCUUGGGAACACAGUUUGACCUUUCCAGUAAAGUUGGUACUAAUAUGAAACCUUUAAUGAACUUCAUUCUGAGUCUCAUAAAGAUCAUUCCCUCACUUAUUCUAUUUUCAGUUUGACCCAACAUAUGGCUAGACCGACCAUUGGGACAGACAAGUGUUGAGUAUGGCAGAAAGGCAGGGCAAUGAGGAAUCGUUGUACCAAAUUCAAGCCAACCUACUUUGCAGAUGUCCAGAAAUCAGCUCACCAUGUUGAGUAGAUAUGCACAUAUUACGUGUUAUAGAAGGCCUUGAACCUGAGAUUUUAGGUUGUUAAUUCUGUACCUUAAUUACUCAACAAGUCCCUUGGUAUUUCCUAGAUUAUGUCCAACUACAUGAAGUAAUUAUGAUAGAAAGCUUAGCUAUGCAUAUUUUUCUUUGACUAGUUGACUGCAAAUUAACCAGUGAAACUUACCCUAACCUCAGAAGUUGGAGUUUCCAAUUGAUGAUUCUCCUCCUUUGUUUUGUUGUAUCGUUCAAUCACCGACUUCAUGCUGUCAAAGUAAAUAUAUUCAGAAUUGUCUUUAUUAUCUUCUUAUAAGAAAGGACACAAAUAGAACAAGACAGGUAAUAUCUUUUGCAGCCUCUUAUUAACCUGAUGACUGCAAUUCUGGUAUUUGAUUUCUUUUUCUGUGUUUGUCAGUUGAUUGAACUUGGGAGUGAUAGCGCACAAAACCUUUACAAAGUGAAUGGUACUGUCUUUAAGGUCAUUGCUGAACCAACUAAGUGAACCUUUGAUUGAACGCAACUACAAGAAACAAAAUGAUGUGUGGAUCAACUUGCAAAACAAUAUGAAUAGAGGAUGCAUGAUAAUAUAAACACAUUUUACUGUUUCUCCUUUGUUUGUCUUAGCUUUCAAGGCACAGAAGCUAGUAAUUACUUUCUUGCUUUGAAGUUUAAUCACUGUCUCUGUAGUAGCACUUCUUAUUUUUUACUGGGCACAAGAAAACAUUAAUACACAUGUGGUUUUGAACAUGUCUAAAAA